UACGGAGGGUGCAAGCGUUAUCCGGAUUCACUGGGUUUAAAGGGUGCGUAGGUGGGUCUGUAAGUCAGUGGUGAAAUCUCCGAGCUUAACUCGGAAACUGCCAUUGAUACUAUAGGUCUUGAAUUAUCUGGAGGUAAGCGGAAUAUGUCAUGUAGCGGUGAAAUGCUUAGAUAUGACAUAGAACACCAAUUGCGAAGGCAGCUUACUACGGAUUGAUUGACACUGAGGCACGAAAGCGUGGGGAUCAAACAGG
rnacentral:rRNA from 1 species